UGCGGAGGGUGCAAACGUUGCUCGGAAUUAUUGGGCGUAAAGCGCACGUAGGCGGUUCGUUAUGUCGGAUGUGAAAGCCCUCGGCUUAACCGAGGAAGUGCAUCCGAAACUGGCGAGCUUGAGUACGGAAGAGGGUCUCGGAAUUCCCGGUGUAGAGGUGAAAUUCGUAGAUAUCGGGAGGAACACCAGUGGCGAAGGCGGAGACCUGGGCCGAUACUGACGCUGAGGUGCGAAAGCGUGGGGAGCAAACAGG
rnacentral:rRNA from 1 species